ACACAUGCAGUCGAACGAUGAAGCCUUUCGGGGUGGAUUAGUGGCGAACGGGUGAGUAACACGUGGGCAAUCUGCCCUUCACUCUGGGACAAGCCCUGGAAACGGGGUCUAAUACCGGAUAACACUCUGUCCCGCAUGGGACGGGGUUAAAAGCUCCGGCGGUGAAGGAUGAGCCCGCGGCCUAUCAGCUUGUUGGUGGGGUAAUGGCCUACCAAGGCGACGACGGGUAGCCGGCCUGAGAGGGCGACCGGCCACACUGGGACUGAGACACGGCCCAGACUCCUACGGGAGGCAGCAGUGGGGAAUAUUGCACAAUGGGCGAAAGCCUGAUGCAGCGACGCCGCGUGAGGGAUGACGGCCUUCGGGUUGUAAACCUCUUUCGGCAGGGAAGAAGCGAAAGUGACGGUACCUGCAGAAGAAGCGCCGGCUAACUACGUGCCAGCAGCCGCGGUAAUUCA
rnacentral:rRNA from 1 species